GAUGAAGAACGUAGCGAAAUGCGAUAAGUAAUAUGAAUUGCAGAAUUCAGUGAAUCAUCGAAUCUUUGAACGCACAUUGCGCCCGCCAGCACUCUGGCGGGCAUGCCUGUUCGAGCGUCAUUUCAACCAUCAAGCCCCCAGGGGCUUGUGCUGGGGCCCUGCGGCUGCCCGCAGGCCCUGAAAACCAGUGGCGGGCUCGCUAGUCACACCGAGCGCAGUAGCACAUCUCGCUCAGGGCGUGCGGCGGGCUCCUGCCGUGAAACCCCCCACUGUAACCCCAAAGGUUGACCUCGGAUCAGGUAGGAAUACCCGCUGAACUUAAGCAUAUCAAUAAGCGGAGGA
rnacentral:misc_RNA from 1 species